CAGGCCAUCUGGCUGCUCUGUACCGGUGCCCGUGAGGCCGCCUUCCGAAACAUCAAAACCAUUGCUGAAUGUUUGGCAGAUGAACUCAUCAACGCCGCCAAGGGCUCCUCCAAUUCCUACGCCAUUAAGAAGAAGGACGAACUGGAGCGCGUUGCCAAAUCCAACCGCUAGGUGGCGCUGCGGGACCGCGGUGUUAAAGGGGCGCUGCGGGACCCCAUAGAAGUGGGGGGGGGAGUUGGGAUUUGGGAUCCCAUUAAAUUGGGGGAUUUGGGGGAUCCCAUUAAAUUCGGGGGGUUGUGGGGCUGCCCCCCAACUCGUGCCCCACACGGGGGCUGCGUCACCGCCCCCCCCCACCCCCCCCAAAGAAAAGA